rnacentral:rRNA from 1 species
CUACGGGAGGCAGCAGUGAGGAAUAUUGCGCAAUGGACGAAAGUCUGACGCAGCCAUGCCGCGUGCAGGAUGACGGCGCUAUGCGUUGUAAACUGCUUUUAUAUGCCAAGAAACCUUCGGACGUGUCCGAAGCUGACGGUAGCAUAUGAAUAAGCACCGGCUAACUCCGGCCAGCAGGCCGCGGUAAUACGGAGGGUGCAAGCGUUAUCCGGAUUUAUUGGGUUUAAAGGGUCCGUAGGCGGAUCAUUAAGUCAGUGGUGAAAGCCGGCAGCUCAACUGUCGAACGGCCAUUGAUACUGGUGAUCUUGAAUACGGUUGAAGUUGGCGGAAUAGGUCAUGUAGCGGUGAAAUGCUUAGAUAUGACCUAGAACACCGAUUGCGAAGGCAGCCAACUAAGCCGUUAUUGACGCUGAGGGACGAAAGCGUGGGGAGCGAACAGGAUUAGAUACCCGAGUAGUC